GGGCGCAUAGCUCAAUGGCAGAGCUGACGGCUCAUAACUGUUAGGUUCCAGGUUCGAAUCCUGGUGCGCCCA
rnacentral:tRNA from 1 species